rnacentral:rRNA from 1 species
GAUGAACGCUGGCGGCGCGCCUAACACAUGCAAGUCGAACGAUUAAAGCACCUUCGGGUGUGUAUAAAGUGGCGAACGGCUGAGAAACACGUGGGCAACCUGCCCCUCUCAUUGGGAUAGCCACGGGAAACCGUGGAUAAUACCGAAUACUUCGGGACUUCCGCAUGGAAGACUCGAGAAAGCUCCGGCGGAGAGGGAUGGGCCCGCGGCCUGUUAGCUUGUUGGUGGGGUAAUGGCCUACCAAGGCAAUGAUGGGUAGCUGGGUUGAGAGACCGACCAGCCAGAUUGGGACUGAGACACGGCCCAGACUCCUACGGGAGGCAGCAGUGGGGAAUCUUGCACAAUGGGCGAAAGCCUGAUGCAGCGACGCCGCGUGCGGGAUGAAGGCCUUCGGGUUGUAAACCGCUUUCAGCAGGGACGAGGCGAAAGUGACGGUACCUGCAGAAGAAGCCCCGGCUAACUACGUG